rnacentral:rRNA from 1 species
AUGAUGCAUUAUGGGCCUAUAGAGCUGCAUAUAAAAAUCCAAUGGGUAUUUCUAUCGUUCCGGUGCCAUAAAAAUCAACAACUUCGAAGGCACAAAUCCGAAGAUGGUGAACGGUCAAUGAAUCAAACAUUAUAUCUCAGUCAUCGGUACUCUGUCUUACCUUUUAAAGUACAUAUUAUUCCAGGGAUUGUCUUUGCAAGAGGGCCUGCUGUUGCUGUGUUGAUUCUUUUGGAGUCCAAAGGGCAAACUUAUGUUGUUUUACUGAACAGAAUUCCUAUUGGAAUGCUAGAUGAUGAAAAUGGCGACUUUGUUGGCACCGCAGUCCGAGAGGUCGAAGAAGAAACUGGUAUAAAGUUAAAUUUAGAGGGCAUGGUUGAUCUUACUGCUUUGCUGGACCCUGCUACUGGGUGCAGAAUUCUACCAUCAUCGGGGGCACGUGGACGAGGAGACUAUCAGGCUCGCCAAGGGAAGGAAACGGGCCAGCGGGACCAUGGCGAGCCGAUCAAGCUGUGUAUGGUCCCCUAUGACCAGCUCUGGUGCACGACGUCAGAUGCGAAGGUGCUCUCGGCAAUAGCUCUGUACGAGAUGGGCAAGAAGGAAGGCAUCCUACCUCUGUUGCCGCCAUCUAGUGGCUCAUCGUCAAACCUGUUAACGCCGAACUGGGCAUGCACGUUCUUCUGUACCGAGAUGUUUGAGAACAUUGGUGGUCAAGUACACUGUAGUCUCCGUCAAUGCCACCUGAAAGGUAAAAAGAGCUGCAGUGCGCAAAUAGUUCCAAGUAAUAUUUGA